CACGUAGGGUGCGAGCGUUGUCCGGAAUUAUUGGGCGUAAAGAGCUCGUAGGCGGUGUGUCGCGUCGGCCGUGAAAACCUGCAGCUUAACUGUGGGCGUGCGGUCGAUACGGGCAUCACUGGAGUUCGGCAGGGGAGACUGGAAUUCCUGGUGUAGCGGUGAAAUGCGCAGAUAUCAGGAAGAACACCAAUGGCGAAGGCAGCUCUCUGGGACGGUACUGACACUGAGACGCGAAAGCGUGGGGAGCGAACAGG
rnacentral:rRNA from 1 species